CAGCACUCCAGGUCCCCGGCUGCACAUUACGUAGCCCCCUGCCCUGCCCCUGGCCAAGUGGAACGCUCUGAAGCGUGUGGAAGAACCCAGUUGUGGUUUGGCCUCCUCCUGGCUCUUCCACAUGGGCGCAAGGCACAGAGCCCCAGCCCAGGGGGCCAUGAGAGGGCAGCAAGACACUUUCCCUGUUGCCUCAGACCCCAUUACCCUUAGGUUCCUGCAGUCUACACAGGCAGUCCUCACUCACACCCACGGCCUGUCCUUGUGAGAGGGUUAGAACCCGGUCAUCCCCCUGCAGCAGCUCAGUGCCUUGAAUCCCAGCUUUUCUGUUUCCUGAUGGAAAUGCAUACCUAAAAAGGCCAUUGAUCCUCGAGAGUGGGUUUCAUUGCAGUUGAUGUGCGUGUUGCUGUCUCCACUGUGUUACGUUGCCGAGGCGGGAAUGGGGUACAAGUGUGCGUCAGAUAGCUAGUUAAGCGUGUGAAAAGCCUUCUUAAACAGAAACAGGGGAACACUGACAAUGUGACCUGCAAAUGCAGGCUCCGCUCAGCCCUUGAUGGAGUGAGGUCACCCUGGGUAUCUUCAGUAACAGAGCCACAGGGUUCACCUGAAGUCGUUCUCCCUGUGAGGAGUGUCACCAGCUUUGUCGAGCCGUGAGGACCCUGCCAGGCGAAUGUCCUGAUAGCCCUUGUAAGCACCAUACAGACAAACCCCACCAUCCAGCUCAGGGGUCCCACUCACUUUCUUCCCUUUCCAUGGUUUUCACAGAGGCCUGUGUUCUGCCCACCCCACCCUGCAAAUUCCUCUCCAGGCCAUGGUAGGCCAGCCUACUGAGGGGCGGAACAAUUCUGGAGGUUUCCAUGACACUGGUCUGGGGGUGGGGAUGGGAGAUGGAAGUCCCCUCUGGGUGAAUAUUUUCUGCCUCCAGUUAGAGGGUGGGCUGCUUGAGGUGACAACCCCCAACUCUGCUCUGAACUGUUCAGAUCAGCCAUACCCAGGAGAACCAGCUAAAUUAUUUUGGUUUAAAUACACGAUAUUCCAUCAAUUCAUUAGAAUUGAAUUUUCAGGGGACUGUGCAAAGGCUUCUACCUGGCCACCAUGCUGCAAUAAGAGAUUUAUGUCCUCUGUGUCUGGUCUGAACACCACCCAGGCCCACUUAGUAAAGCGGAGCCUGGGUCAUCUUGCUCCUCUUGUGCCCAAGUCCUCUCCUACUCUGACUAUGCUAGUGGCAUGGGAUCCCCAAGAGUCUGUAUGCGUGAAGGAGAAAAAAAUAAAUGUUUGCUUGAAAAUACUGUG
rnacentral:lncRNA from 1 species